GACGAACGCUGGCGGCGUGCCUAAUACAUGCAAGUAGAACGCUGAAGGAGGAGCUUGCUCUUCUGGAUGAGUUGCGAACGGGUGAGUAACGCGUAGGUAACCUGCCUGGUAGCGGGGGAUAACUAUUGGAAACGAUAGCUAAUACCGCAUAACAGUAGAUGUUGCAUGACAUUUGCUUAAAAGGUGCAAUUGCACCACUACCAGAUGGACCUGCGUUGUAUUAGCUAGUUGGUGGGGUAACGGCUCACCAAGGCGACGAUACAUAGCCGACCUGAGAGGGUGAUCGGCCACACUGGGACUGAGACACGGCCCAGACUCCUACGGGAGGCAGCAGUAGGGAAUCUUCGGCAAUGGACGGAAGUCUGACCGAGCAACGCCGCGUGAGUGAAGAAGGUUUUCGGAUCGUAAAGCUCUGUUGUAAGAGAAGAACGAGUGUGAGAGUGGAAAGUUCACACUGUGACGGGAUCUUACCAGAAAGGGACGGCUAACUACGG
rnacentral:rRNA from 1 species